rnacentral:misc_RNA from 1 species
GAUGAAGAACGUAGCGAAAUGCGAUAAGUAAUGUGAAUUGCAGAAUUCAGUGAAUCAUCGAAUCUUUGAACGCACAUUGCGCCCCCCAGUAUUCUGGCGGGCAUGCCUGUUCGAGCGUCAUUUCAACCAUCAAGCCCUGCUUGUGUUGGGGUCCUGCGGCUGCCCGCAGGCCCUGAAAACCAGUGGCGGGCUCGCUAGUCACACCGAGCGCAGUAGCACAUCUCGCUCAGGGCGUGCGGCGGGCUCCAGCCGUUAAAGCACCCACCUUUCGCAAGGUUGACCUCGGAUCAGGUAGGAAUACCCGCUGAACUUAAGCAUAUCAAUAAGCGGAGGA